rnacentral:rRNA from 1 species
GACGAACGCUGGCGGCGUGCUUAACACAUGCAAGUCGAACGGAAAGGCCCUGCUUUUGCGGGGUGCUCGAGUGGCGAACGGGUGAGUAACACGCGAGUAACCUGCCCUUGACUUUGGGAUAACUUCAGGAAACUGGGGCUAAUAUCGGAUAGGAGCUCCUGCUGCAUGGUGGGGGUUGGAAAGUUUCGGCGGUUGGGGCUGGACUCGCGGCUUACGAGCUUGUUGGUGUGGUAGUUGCUUACCAAGGUUUCGACGGGUAGGCGGCCUGAGAGGGUGACCGGCGACAUUGGGACUGCGAUACGGACCAGACUCGUACGGGAGGCAGCGGUGGAAAGUAUUACAGAGUAAGCGGGCGCCAGAUACAACGGCGCCGCGAGCGGGAUAACGGCCUUCGAGUUGUGAACAGCUUUCGCCUGUAACGAAGCGUGAGUGACGGUAAUGGGUAAGGAAGCACCGGCUAACUACGUG